rnacentral:rRNA from 1 species
UACGAAGGGUGCAAGCGUUACUCGGAAUCACUGGGCGUAAAGCGUGCGUAGGCGGUUCGUUAAGUCUGCUGUGAAAGCCCUGGGCUCAACCUGGGAACUGCAGUGGAUACUGGCGGACUAGAGUGUGAUAGAGGAUGGUGGAAUUCCCGGUGUAGCGGUGAAAUGCGUAGAGAUCGGGAGGAACACCAGUGGCGAAGGCGGCCAUCUGGAUCAACACUGAACGCUGAGGCACGGAAA